rnacentral:rRNA from 1 species
AUUGAACGCUGGCGGCAGGCCUAACACAUGCAAGUCGAGCGAGAGGCGGACGGGUGAGUAAUGUAUGGGGACUGCCCGAUAGAGGGGGAUAACUACAGGAAACGGUCGCUAAUACAGCAUACUAUCGGAUAACCCAUAUGGGAUUAGCUAGUAGGUUGGGUAAUGGAUCACCUCGGCGACGAUCCCUAGCUGGUCUGAGAGGUUGAUCAGCCACACUGUGACGGAGACACGGCCCAGACUCCUACGGAGGCAGCAGUUGGGAAUAUUGCACAUUUGGCGCAAGCCUGAUGCAGCCAUGCCGCGUGUAUGAAGAAGGCCCUAGGGUUGUAAAGUACUUUCAGUCGGGAGGCGUUACCGACAGAAGAAGCACCGGCUAACUCCGUGCCAGCAGCCGCGGUGAUUC